rnacentral:misc_RNA from 1 species
UCUACGAGAAAGGUCACACGGCCACUCUCGCUCACUCGAUGAGCGACACGGUCGUGCCAAUUCACGGAUCGAUGCCUCCGGGCAUCAUCUGCAUGGGACCGUUGGUCCCGGCGCCCGCUCGCGUGUGCUCGUCACACGUCAGUCGGCGCCACCCCGCUUCCUCCUGCGUCCUUUCCUUCUUUUGUUUUGGGCCUGUAGCUCAGUCGGUUAGAGCACUUCUCUGAUAAGGAAGGGGUCACUAGUUCGAGUCUAGUCAGGCCCACUGAACGCGAUGCGCGGAGCGUCGCGUUUUUUGACGAUUGGUCUUUGACACACAUAGGGAUGGGAAGAAGAGAGAAACGAGCGAUGCAGUGGUGUAUCGGCACGGGAGCGUGUCGGUGCACUGGAAUCGGGCCGCGGCGCUGAGGCGGUGUGGUCCGAGGCGAGUUGGCUGUGCGCGACCUGGAGACGGGGAGUGAGCAGCGAACAGAGAGCGUCGUGAGAUACUCAUAUGGUCAAGCGAACAAGGGUCUACAGUGGAUGCCUUGGAGCCACCUGGCGAAGAAGGCCGUGGUAAGCUGCGAAAAGCGACGGGGAGGAGCACACAUCCUGCGAUCCGUCGAUUGCCGAAUGGGGAAACCCGG